GCCAGGUGUGGUGGUGCACGCCUGUAGUCCCAGCUACUCGGGAGGCUGAGGCAGGAGGAUCCCUUGAGCUUAGGAGUUCAAGGAUUCAGUGAACUAUGGCCAUACCCACUGCACUCUAGCCUAGGAAGCAGAGUGAGAUUCUGUCUCAA
ensembl:misc_RNA Metazoa_SRP Metazoan signal recognition particle RNA